rnacentral:sRNA from 2 species
AUAGGUCCUCGUUAGGUGAGGCUCCUAUACAAACAAAGGCCACUGCCCGGAAAUAUCGAAAGAUGCCAAUGGGUAGAACAGGAAUUGUCGGAUUAAGGCUUUUCUUAAGGUGGCUAAGGGAUUUCCUUUACGUUGUAUAGUGCCAAAGCUCAACUCGGGGGAAUGGU